rnacentral:lncRNA from 1 species
UGAUUGGCAGUACAACUGCCCCCAAGCCUGUCCCUAAGUGAGACACCAAGCCAGGCCUCAGGGGGACAGUGGUCUAAAUGUGGUUUCCCGUGGCUCCCAGCCUCCCAGGUGCCCAUCACAAUGACCCUCAGGUGGCAGUGAUUAGGUGUCACUGUACAAGACAUUUCUCCUGCUGAGCAGAAGGCAUCACCCCUGCAAACUACCUCUUCCCACAACGACUUUCUCCCCUGGAACCAAAAAGCACCCUGUACCUCCUUCCCCUCCUCCUCCUCCUCUCCUGCCAACGCAGUGGCCUUGGUCUUGGAAAACAGAAGGAAGAAGUCUGGCCUGGGUGGGAUCUCCCUUUGUCUCCCAGCCUGCCAUUGGCACAACCCUCUGGUGGGGGGGGGGUGUGUGCCAUACUCAGAAACCCCUGCCCUCGCCCUGUGCAAAGCAGAGAGGAAGGCACAGCACAGUACACAGUUGGAACCGGAGGUGGCCCUGGCGGAAUUCCACUCUAACUUAUUUUGAAGUGUAUACAAACCAACGGUUUAGCGAUUCCACUUGUGCAGAGCCCUACUGUGUUUUUAUGUUCCUGUUUAAAAGAGAAGUUUACUUAGCAAUAAUUAUAAAUAAAUGAGUAUUCUUUAGCGA